GCGGAAGUGGCUCAGUGGUAGAGCAUCUCCUUGCCAAGGAGAGGGUCGCCAGUUCGAAUCUGGUCUUCCGCU
rnacentral:tRNA from 1 species